GUCAGAGUUCGGUCGGUGGGAUGGCGGUCUCCGUGCAGCGUGUAAUGUGUCUAUCCCGGCCAUGUCACAGAUAGCUGAUAGCGAUCACACCCAUAAUAAACAGACUGCUGAUAAUCACAUGCACUGUGUCCUGCCAGCCAAUGGACAGCCUCCCUGCUCGCUGGAUUUACUAAACAAAGUGUGAGGGCGGUAACUGUAACCCCUUCAUAGCCAGGACUGGCACAGCUACUGCGGUAACACACGGUGACUGUGUCUCUGACUGCACCAG